GCCUGGCUGGCUCAGUUGGUAGAGCAUAUCACUCUUGAUCAUGGCAUUGUGAGUUCGAGCCCCAUGUUGGGUA
rnacentral:tRNA from 1 species